GGAGCAGGCGAUCGCUUAAUGAAACUGUGUCGUCUCACUUCCUGGGGGAAAUUGGGGUGGCUGAAAGUCUUCCUGUUCGUGAUCUCUACAUACCCAAACAUAAUGUUUUCUAGGUGGCAGAAGCAAUGCUUUAGACUGCAGAUGUUAUGUACAGAGCGGAAUGGAGACAGAGACACAUGCAGGAGAAAGAGCUGAUGAAGGACAGAGUAACAGGGAGAAGAGAAGAGCUCAAGAUGAACAGAAGAGUGGAUGGACUGAUGUGCUGAAGAGAGAUGUGCAGGGCAGGCUCGAUCAGACAGACAGGAGAGAGUUACCUGAGGUUUUGUGUAAAGGUUGUGCAGAAUAAAAACCUGAAGACAAGCAUCAAAGAAGAGCCUAACGCUGAGGGACAGACGAGCACAACGAUGGAAGUUGGACUUUGCAUCUUUAUCACAGUGUUCUGAGAUGCUUCAAUUUUCCCAGGAUUCUGUUGAAGUGAAUCCCUGUCAGCUUCUUCCAUUACGUGUCAGAUGCAGUCGGAUUCAGUGGUUCCUGACCGCUCUUCCUCAGGUCUGAGCGUGAAGCCGGUGUCCGUCUGUGCUGUCAGCUGUGGAUCGCUGCUCCUCUCUCCUGCGGCUCUGAGCCACAACGCGCUGCAUCAGGAAUAUCAGGAAUGCUGGCGGUGAUCUGCACACACACACACAAGGGAGCUGACGAGAGGACUUAGGAUGACUAGAAGAUAUCUUGGAUCGCUGGAUGAUGACUAUGAAUGAGGUUCCUUAUGGUAGGAUAUUCUCCAGGUAGUCUGUGUUCUCUACACAAGGCCAGACAAAAACUGGUGGUGUGUGUGUGUGAUAAGAACAAAUAUCUGCCAUUAGGGGUCAAAAAGUAAUCUUUUUUCCCCUUUAAAUUAGAUUAUUUGUCUGACCCCAUUGGCAGAUUUUUACACCUUUUUCAGAAAGCAAGACUUAAUAUCAUAAUUCAUUUUGCUUCUCAAGUAAAUGUAUCUUGAUUUAAGAAUGUUAAAUAGAUAUGUUAUGUUUAGAUAUUUGUACUGAAAAACAAGACAAAAAUAUUGAGAAAGAAAGUCAUUUAUCAUAACCCUAACCCUAACAAUGAAAUGAAAUCAACACCGAACUGACUCAAGCUGAACAAUGACACUGUUUCCUUCUAGAG